rnacentral:sRNA from 1 species
CCGAAGCCAAAGGUGAUGCCGAACACGCUGAGUUCCCCG